AUGAGCCCGUCAGGGAAUUAUGACGCAUGGCUAUUGCAAGAGCCCCUAUGGCGAACACCACGACGCUCUGUGUUCAAACACAAACAAAAGCCGAAACAACCCCACUUCCACCAUUUUUCACUAUUUUCUUCACCUCCUACCCACUGUCUUCCUCCAUUAACACUCACCAUAACUCCACCCACUCAAAUUACUUCCAAUAACUCACAAAAUCCAUUAACCUUCCACUAA